UAUAUAUAUAUAAUUAAUUAAUAAUAAUAAUUAAUAUACGCCUACUGUAUGAUAGCUAGCAAAUUAAUUAGCUAACUAACGUUAGCCUGCCGAGCUGGAACUUCUGAAGAAUAUAUAUAUUUCUUCUUCUACAAUUUCCAAAAGAUAACCAAACAACACAUUUACUUUUUAUGAUACGUGUUUGUGCAUUAGUAGUACAAUGUCUAACCUAUUUGCAUUCGUUUCUACUUACACUUAUAUUUUCACUUCUCCAUUGAUGUUGUUUAACUUUUCGUAGACUUUUCUUAGCGGAUGUACAAUCAUCGCGAAUUGAAUUCUGGGGGAGUUUCAGACCUCGGAGUGAACAUAAUUGUACACUCGCAAAGCCGAAUAAAAACGAGGCCUGAGGGGCUUACGUUGCAAACUUCCCUUGUUUGGCUAAUCAUUUGGACCGCCCAACAAGAUGGCAACAGGGAUUCCCCCAAGGGCAUAAGGCGAGGGAAAGUGGACGAGGGUGUGUCUUAUAAGUGUUUGGACCGCAAACCAAAAGUGUAGGUGGAAGAUGAGGCUCUGGACACAAUUCAGCCGGUUGUCUCUCUUUUAAUGACUGCAUGGAAUGGAUACAAGGCUAAAGUUACUGCUGCCGUCUGGACUCCAUACAAGUAUAUGUGCCUCUCCUCUUAACGCGCUGAGCAAACUCCGUAGUAAAAACAUCAAUAAAAUCCAUUGUACAUGUUCAUAUUUUCAAAA